rnacentral:rRNA from 1 species
AUUGAACGCUGGCGGCAGGCCUAACACAUGCAAGUCGAGCGAGCGGCGGACGGGUGAGUAAUGUAUGGGGACUGCCCGAUGGAGGGGGAUAACUACUGGAAACGGUAGCUAAUACCGCAUACUAUCGGAUAACCCAUAUGGGAUUCGCUAGGCGGUGGGGUAAUGGCUCACCUAGGCGACGAUCCCUAGCUGGUCUUAGAGGAUGAUCAGCCACAAUGGGACGUAGACACGGCCCAGACUCCUACGGAGGCAGAAGGGGGGAAUAUUGCACAAGGGGCGCAAGCCUGAUGCAGCCAUGCCGCGUGUAUGAAGAAGGCCUUAGGGUUGUAAAGUACUUUCAGUCGGGAGGCGUUACCGGCAGAAGAAGCACCGGCUAACUCCGUGCCAGCAGCCGCGGUAAUUC